rnacentral:rRNA from 1 species
AACGUAGGACGCAAGCGUUAUCCGGAGUUACUGGGCGUAAAGCGCGAGCAGGCGGCUCGACAAGUUCGCUGUGAAAGCGCCUGGCUUAACCGGGCGAGGUCGGCGGAAACUGUCCGACUAGAGGACGGUAGAGGGGGGUGGAAUUCCCGGUGUAGUGGUGAAAUGCGUAGAGAUCGGGAGGAACACCUGUGGCGAAGGCGGCCCCCUGGGCCGGCCCUGACACUGAGACGCGAAGGCGUGGGGAGCGAACGGG